rnacentral:snoRNA from 1 species
AGUGAAUACUAAAUGUGGUGUUUCCCUCUGAGAAAUAUCAUGAUCAGAAUAUACUAGAGAGCUUGCUAUUUGCACAAACAACAUGUAGCCAAAGAGUAAAUUGGGAUCAUAGUACUGGUCUAGAGUGUCCCUCUAGAUCUUCCCACUCCUGGUCAGCAUCUAAAUUCCCACACAGAA